rnacentral:rRNA from 1 species
UACAGAGGGUGCGAACGUUUUUCGGAAUUACUGGGCGUAAAGCGCGUGUAGGCGGUCUGAAAAGUCGGAUGUGAAAACCCUGGGCUCAACCCGGGAAGCGCACUCGAUACUGUCGGACUGGAGUCCCGGAGAGGAUGGUGGAACUCUCGGUGUAGAGGUGAAAUUCGUAGAUAUCGGGAAGAACAUCGGUGGCGAAGGCGGCCAUCUGGACGGUGACUGACGCUGAGACGCGAAAGCGUGGGGAGCAAACAGG